AACGAACGCUGGCGGCAUGCCUAACACAUGCAAGUCGAACGAGACCUUCGGGUCUAGUGGCGCACGGGUGCGUAACGCGUGGGAACCUUCCCUUAGGUUCGGCAUAACUCCCCGACAGGGGUGCUAAUACCGGAUAAUGUCUUCUGACCAAAGAUUUAUCGCCUUUGGUUGUGCCCGCGUUGGAUUAGCUAGUUGUUAGGGUAAAAGCCUACGAAGGCGACGAUCCAUAGCUGGUCUGAGAGGAUGAUCAGCCACACUGGGAGUGAGACGCGGCCCAGACUCCUACGGGAGGCAGCAGUGGGGAAUAUUGGACAGUGGGCGAAAGCCUGAACCAGCAAUGACGCGUGAGUGAUGAAGGCCGUAGGGUUGUAAAGCGCUUUUAACCGGGAUGAUAAUGACAGUACCGGGAGAAUAAGCUCCGGCUAACUCCGUG
rnacentral:rRNA from 1 species